CUCCUUCUCACUACCGAGUCACUCCUUCUCGCCGAGCCGCUACUGUCACUCCUUCUCGUUGUCGCACGUUGAGCCACUACCAUCCCGCCUCCUCGCUGCUGCAGGCCGAAUCACUGAUCGCCGCAGAGUCGCCUACUACAGGUACCUACACAAUUACAAGGUUGGGAGUGCGGAUACUAUGUUAUGGAGUUUAUAAGAGAAGUAAUCACACAACAAGAGUUGAUCAUUCCUAAAAAUGUCAAAUCAACCCCAAGCAACUAGAAGGAGAUUUGAAGCUCAAUCCAACAAGAAGCAUGGGACAUGUGCCACGGCCUAGUUGUGUUCAUAAAGGAAGCAAAGUACUCUUGAUGUUUUCGAACUAGAGUCUUUAUGAAAUCUUAGGGGAGAGUUGAUGGAAGAGGAGUUUAAAGUCUUCACUUGGCUAAGCUCAACUAUUUCUUCAUCUUGUUUCAAUUCCAUUAUAAUACUAUGAUUAUUGUUGAUUAUGGUUCAAUUUGACUUUAGUUACAUGGUUGUUUGUAAUUUUGUAAUGUUGAAACAAAAUUGUUAAGUUGAAUUUCAUGACCUAUAUGCUUCUGGA